UACGUAGGCAGCAAGCGUUGUUCGGAGUUACUGGGCGUAAAGGGUGUGUAGGCGGUUUUCUAAGUCUGGUGUGAAAUCUCCCGGCUCAACUGGGAGGGUGCGCCGAAGACUGGAAGGCUUGAGUAUGGGAGAGGUAAGCGGAAUUCCUGGUGUAGCGGUGAAAUGCGUAGAUAUCAGGAGGAACACCUGCGGUGUAGACGGCUUACUGGACCAUAACUGACGCUGAGGCACGAAAGCGUGGGUAGCAAACAGG
rnacentral:rRNA from 1 species